CAAGCCAACCCGCGCCCCCCAUCUGAUUCUAGGGUUCGUCCCACUCUUUCUUCUCCGCUGUACGAGAGAGUUUGAGCUCUGGAAGUCGUCGUGAAGAAUCUAUUUGUAGGGUUUUGAUCGCGUCGUUUGAUAUUUGUUUUAAUGAUCUGAAACGCCUCCGGUUACAGCUUCAUGGCGUUAAACCCCUUCUUAAAUCCAUCACCCACGAUCUCGACUACAAUGCGAGUUUUUCUUCGCAAGGGUGUGUAUCUGCGAAUAUAAAAAGGCGACCAUGAUGGUAGCCACCAUGAAUGUCAACCGGCUUGCUACUUACAUACCAAACGCCUUCAAAGCUUUGAUGUGACUCGAUGUAAUCAAAAUUUCCAACUGUUGGACUCCUCUCUGCUGAUUCGUUUCAGGGAUACAAACUCCCUUGAUGAGGUCACCGAACCGUGCUCAUGAAUAGGUAAAACCCAAUGUGGUAUUUGAGAGAGGACUCGAAGGCUUGCUUGAUAACAGUAUUUUUCAGUUUCUUAGUUUAGUGCUCAAAGCUAGACUGUUUGUUGAAAAUCUACAAACCCUAUAAUGCGCUCGCUAACAUCCUUGCUCAUACUAAAACGUCAAAACAAAUUGAAACCAUAAAGCCGGAAAUUGUAAGUAUAUGCAUAUAUGUUAAUUGGUUUGGUAGGCAGAUACGAGAUUAAACAUAUGUGUUCUCUCUUGGAUAGAUCAAAAAAAUUCAUUACACUUUCAUGUCAUAUAUUGUAUCUUCAUUUUUGGUUUUCAAACUUGUGAAUCGUACGGAGAAACGGAUAAAUAAUUUAGUAAUAAGAUUGCUAUACAGAUCUUGCACGGUAUGCGUGAGCGGUGUGAAAUCCACCGCAAGCUUCGUUAUACUGACAAUGCAUUGGUUGCUGUUGCGCAGUUGUCACAUCAAUACAUCAAGUUUUUGUUUCUUCUUAUUUUCAGCCUCUUGCCAAGACAUGAUUUUUAGACAAACUGUAGCAUUUACUCAAACCAGUUGAUUCUCUUUAUUGAAUGAAUAGUGAUUAGUGCCUUCAAGACAAAGCGACUGACUUGAUUGAUGAAGAUGGAUCUUUGGUUCGACCUUGCCAUGCUCAGAUCCCUGAGGAAGCUAGAGAGCUUGAAAAGCAACUCAGACAGAUCACUUAGGAGAAGCAUGAGUCUGUGCGAGGCCAAGAAUUUUAGAAGCAACAGGUUGGUUCUCACUAUAACCAGAAAAAUAAUAUAGGGACGAGAUAGAUAUAUGUUGUUUAAGCCAAAGGCAAAGAAGUGAGCAAAGCUGAGACAUAAGCUGGUGAAUAAGGAGGGUCUACUGCCACUGAAUCUGACAUCCAACCCAUUGUCUCCACCUGGUCAUGAAUUCUGGUUGAGAAAGUCUGAUGAAUCUAGCCGUAUUCCCAAUAUGGUGCAGAGACUUCAUAGAAGAUUUAUCGGACAAAACGAAGUUACCAUAGCUAUUGUCUGGGAGAUCCAACGUCCAUGUGCUGGGCUCAAGAACCCAAACCACACAAUCUAAUAUUUUGAAUUUUCUUAAAAGUAUUCUAUGUACUUUUAUCUUUUGUGUAUUAUUUCUUUUCAUGCUACUUGAUUCUACAUAUAAAAACACUUGGCUGUGUUCGAGAUUGCAAACUAUGCAUUUACAAAAUGUUGUUAUCCGUUCUCA